rnacentral:rRNA from 1 species
AUAGGUAACCUACCCCGGGGAUGGGCAUAGCCGGCCUAACGGCCGGGUAAUACCCAGCGAUUUGGCGAGGAGGCAUCUCUUUGCCAAGAAAUGAGUUUCGCCUCGGGAGGGGCUUAUAUCGUAUUAGCUAGUUGGUGAGGUAACGGCUCACCAAGGCUGAGAUGCGUAGCGGGUGUGAGAGCACGACCCGCGCCACUGGCACUGAGACACUGGCCAGACACCUACGGGUGGCUGCAGUCGAGGAUCUUUGGCAAUGGACGCAAGUCUGACCAAGCGACGCCGCGUGGAUGAUGAAGGCCUUCGGGUUGUAAAAUCCUGUCGAGGGGGACGAAGCCGCAAGGUUGACCGAUCCCUGGAGGAAGGGCGGGCUAAGUUCGUGCCAGCAGCCGCGGUAAGACGAACUGCCCAAACGUUGUUCGGAAUCACUGGGCUUAAAGGGCGCGUAGGCGGGCAUAAAAGUCAGGGGUGAAAUCCGGCAGCUUAACUGUCGAAGUGCCUUUGAUACUGUAUGCCUU